rnacentral:rRNA from 1 species
AUUGAACGCUGGCGGCAGGCUUAACACAUGCAAGUCGAACGAGUGGCGGACGGGUGAGUAAUGCUUGGGAAUCUAGCUUAUGGAGGGGGAUAACUACGGGAAACUGUAGCUAAUACCGCGUACCAUAGGAUGAGCCCAUAUGGGAUUAGCUAGUUGGUGAGGUAAUGGCUCACAAGGGCGACGAUCCCUAGCUGGUCUGAGAGGAGGAUCGGCAACACGGGGACUGUGACAGGCCCAAGACUCCUACGGGAGGCAGCAGUGGGGAAUAUUGCACAAUGGGCGCAAGCCUGAUGCAGACAUGCCGCGUGUAUGAAGAAGGCCCUAGGGUGGUAAAGUACUUUCAGUCGGGAGGCGUUACCGACAGAAGAAGCACCGGCUAACUCCGUGCCAGCAGCCGCGGUAAUAC